GCUCUCAUAGCUCAGCUGGUUAGAGCGUGGGUCUAAUAAGCCCAAGGUCGCAGGUUCGAUCCCUGCUGGGAGCA
rnacentral:tRNA from 1 species